rnacentral:lncRNA from 1 species
AUAUAGGUGAUAUCGGCGAAAGUACCAAGAAAAGCCUAUGUGUAGUAAAUUGGUGAUUUCGCUAUAACUUUUUAAAAAAUCAACAUAUUUAAGAUGUGUUUUUUGCAAACUAGAUGUUUUGAUAGAUGCCGAAUCCAUUUGAAACUUCAAAUCGAUGCUAAAAUAUUGGGAAUAUGGACUUUUUGUUGAUUGGUGUAUGGUUGCUAAGGGGUUGCUAAGGGGAGAAUUUUCAGUUGCUAGUGGAUAUUAUAGUGAUAUCGGCGAAAGUACCAAGCAAAGCCUAUGUAUAGGAAAUAAGUGAUUUUGCCAUAACUUUUAGAAAAAUCAACAUAUUUUAGAUGUGUUUUUUGCAAACUAGAUGUUUUGAUAGAUGCUGAAUCCAUUUGAAACUUCAAAUCGUUGCUAAAAUAUUGGGAAUAUGGACUUUUUGCUGAUUGGUAUAUGGUUGCUAAGGGAAGAAUUUUAGUUGCUAGGGAUAAUUGUAUUUCAAAAUUUGCAUUCAAUUAUAACGUUGGAUAUGAAGUAUUAUAAGUAUUUCGAUAUUUCAUUGCUUUUUGGCAAUUUCGAUUUUUUUGUUUUUUUUUUGUGAUUUUGAAAAUGAUAUGAGCCAGUCCAUGCGAAAAGGUACAAAAAGUCCUUUUGGUAAACUUUACAGGACACGUUAUCAAAGUUUGUUAUAGUAUUUUUGAAAAACGAUUUUAUCCGA